UACGAAGGGGGCUAGCGUUGUUCGGAAUUACUGGGCGUAAAGCGUAUGCAGGCGGAUCGUUAAGUCGGGGGUGAAAUCCCGAGGCUCAACCUCGGAACUGCCUUCGAUACUGGCGACCUUCGAGUCCGGGAGAGGUGAGUGGAACUCCGAGUGUAGAGGUGAAAUUCGUAGAUAUUGGGAAGAACACCGGUGGCGAAGGCGGCUCACUGGCUCAUAUCUGACGCUCAGGCGCGACAGCGUGGGGAUCAAACAGG
rnacentral:rRNA from 1 species